CAGGCUUAACACAUGCAAGUCGAGGGGCAGCAUGGUCUUAGCUUGCUGAGGCCGAUGGCGACCGGCGCACGGGUGAGUAACACGUAUCCAACCUGCCGUCUACUCUUGGACAGCCUUCUGAAAGGAAGAUUAAUACAAGAUGGCAUCAUGAGUCCGCAUGUUCACAUGAUUAAAGGUAUUCCGGUAGACGAUGGGGAUGCGUUCCAUUAGAUAGUAGGCGGGGUAACGGCCCACCUAGUCUUCGAUGGAUAGGGGUUCUGAGAGGAAGGUCCCCCACAUUGGAACUGAGACACGGUCCAAACUCCUACGGGAGGCAGCAGUGAGGAAUAUUGGUCAAUGGGCGAGAGCCUGAACCAGCCAAGUAGCGUGAAGGAUGACUGCCCUAUGGGUUGUAAACUUCUUUUAUAAAGGAAUAAAGUCGGGUAUGGAUACCCGUUUGCAUGUACUUUAUGAAUAAGGAUCGGCUAACUCCGUGCCAGCAGCCGCGGUAAUACGGAGGAUCCGAGCGUUAUCCGGAUUUAUUGGGUUUAAAGGGAGCGUAGAUGGAUGUUUAAGUCAGUUGUGAAAGUUUGCGGCUCAACCGUAAAAUUGCAGUUGAUACUGGAUAUCUUGAGUGCAGUUGAGGCAGGCGGAAUUCGUGGUGUAGCGGUGAAAUGCUUAGAUAUCACGAAGAACUCCGAUUGCGAAGGCAGCCUGCUAAGCUGCAACUGACAUUGAGGCUCGAAAGUGUGGGUAUCAAACAGGAUUAGAUACCCUGGUAGUCCACACGGUAAACGAUGAAUACUCGCUGUUUGCGAUAUACUGCAAGCGGCCAAGCGAAAGCGUUAAGUAUUCCACCUGGGGAGUACGCCGGCAACGGUGAAACUCAAAGGAAUUGACGGGGGCCCGCACAAGCGGAGGAACAUGUGGUUUAAUUCGAUGAUACGCGAGGAACCUUACCCGGGCUUAAAUUGCAGAUGAAUUACGGUGAAAGCCGUAAGCCGCAAGGCAUCUGUGAAGGUGCUGCAUGGUUGUCGUCAGCUCGUGCCGUGAGGUGUCGGCUUAAGUGCCAUAACGAGCGCAACCCUUGUUGUCAGUUACUAACAGGUUCCGCUGAGGACUCUGACAAGACUGCCAUCGUAAGAUGUGAGGAAGGUGGGGAUGACGUCAAAUCAGCACGGCCCUUACGUCCGGGGCUACACACGUGUUACAAUGGGGGGUACAGAGGGCCGCUACCACGCGAGUGGAUGCCAAUCCCAAAAACCUCUCUCAGUUCGGACUGGAGUCUGCAACCCGACUCCACGAAGCUGGAUUCGCUAGUAAUCGCGCAUCAGCCACGGCGCGGUGAAUACGUUCCCGGGCCUUGUACACACCGCCCGUCAAGCCAUGGGAGCCGGGGGUACCUGAAGUGCGUAACCGCGAGGAGCGCCCUAGGGUAAAACUGGUGACUGGG
rnacentral:rRNA from 1 species